GUUCACUGCCGCACCGGCAGCUUAGAAA
rnacentral:other from 1 species